UACGAAGGGGGCUAGCGUUGCUCGGAAUCACUGGGCGUAAAGGGUGCGUAGGCGGGUCUUUUAAGUCAGGGGUGAAAUCCUGGAGCUCAACUCCAGAACUGCCUUUGAUACUGAGGAUCUUGAGUUCGGGAGAGGUGAGUGGAACUGCGAGUGUAGAGGUGAAAUUCGUAGAUAUUCGCAAGAACACCAGUGGCGAAGGCGGCUCACUGGCCCGGAUACUGACGCUGAGGCACGAAAGCGUGGGGAGCAAACAGG
rnacentral:rRNA from 1 species